rnacentral:sRNA from 1 species
CUGUACGAGCUAGUCAAUGCGAUUACUCCUAAAUUGGAAUAUCGGAAUACUGGUGAAGA